ACGUCGUGGUACAAACAGCUUCGUUCAACUAUAAAUGAGAGAUACGAUGGUGUAGUACGCCUAAGAUAUAGAGUUCGACUAAAAGAUUCUACGAUCUUUUAUUCAGAAACGGCGACUUUACGUAUCGGUGCACUUCCUAAAAUCUCAAAACCAUCGAAUAUUUCUCGGAGGAACUUAGGCUCUAGAGUAGAAACUUGUUUCAAUGUUACCGGAACUCCUAAACCUUCCCUAAAAAUUUAUGGGCAAGUCAGCAACGCCAUCAUGACUUCUGCUAAUAAAACAGAGAACUGUGUCUACUUCAAUCCUAAAAAUGUCAAUGAUACCGAAACCAUUACUGUGAUAGCAGAAAACUGUUUUGGAAAAUCUAAUAUUACCAUAAAGCUUUCCAAUUUUCAAAGUAAGUUUUUACACUAAAAACUUGACACUCAAGGAGAAUCUAUAGAUAAGGUAUUUGUUUGGACAUCGCAGACAAUCUAAAUACUGAAACACUCAAAUCAAAUACUCCAACUGUUAGUACUUCAAAUGCGUCCAAUACUCUGACACUAUCGUCACAAUCGGCUAUUGUUUCUUCAUACUUCACUGGUGCAACAACAAAAAGCGCUGCAGCAACAAAAGGCAAUACAACUACAUCAGGAUUUCCAGUUUGGGCAUCUGCAAUUAUUGCAAUUUUUAGUAUUGCAGCGCUAAUACUUCUUGUCUUUCUCAUCACAUUUUAUGUUAGAA